GAAAAAUAUCACAAACGCUUUUGAGGUCUGACUUGUCAUUAGGGUUUCACAGGGUGUUUGGUGCUUUCAAGAGGCAAUAUGAGGCCCAUCUUCUGUGGAAACUUUGAGUAUGAUGCGCGACAAUCUGAGCUGGAACGACUUUUUAGACGAUAUGGAAGAGUUGAAAGAGUGGAUAUGAAGUCUGGUUAGUUUUCUUUAUCAACCUUACUCAUCUGUCCUUUUGAACGUUAAACUGCUAAGCGGUGAAAAUUAAGCCAGCAAAUUGAAGGCUUCAAGCUUUUUAGUGAAAAUUAAAGUAGUCAGCUUUUUAUGUAAAUAAAGUUUUAUAGAUGCAUGCUAGGAAGGCUUUUUUUGAAAAAGAUCAACGUUAAAUAAUGUAUUCCAACAUGUCUUUUUUAGAGCAACAUUUCAUGUUAAUUACAUUUGUGUGAUAAUUGAUAAGCACUAUGGUAAUAGCCACCAAAAUAUGGCAUUCAUCUCUGCCCUUCUCCACUGUUAAGAAGAAAAGUAUGGUGCUACAAGUUGAGAAGUGAUGGAGGUAGAUGUGGUAGUGGAAUUUUGACAUGAUAGGGGUAACAGCAAUUAUGGCUCCUGACUGUUGAAGGUUUUGGCUUGCUCAGCACUCCCAAAUUUCAAUUCCUCCAACACCCAAACUUCAAUUGGCAUUCAUAGCACUUCUAAUGGGCAAUAAGUCAUCUCAACAUUCUCAAUUUCAAGCCAUAACAUAAAAACCCCAAUUUUUUAUCAAAACCCUAACUUUAAUUUUUAUAAUUCAUGUAAACUCAAUCUAUACAGUUAAUGCAUAUUAUCUCAUUAAGCAUUAUGACUAAACUAAUAUAUAUCAAUUAAAAAUAUCAAACUCCACUUUCCCUCAUGGCUGUCGAAAUUGGUACCCUUACAUACCCAUUAUUUUCUUUAACUUUUAUACAAUUACAACUCAUCUUAAUAUAAGUUAAUUGAUUUUAUAUUUGUAGGCAACACAUGUUUCUCAUAAAAUAAACUAAUAUGAUAAUAAUAUGUGCUGCUGUUGAAUAUGGAAAAUAUCAUGAUAAAAAAUUUGCACAAACAAACUUUGGAAUGAGCCAGCAAUCCUCCAUCACCCCAGAAAGUUCAGAGAUCAGCUUUCCAUGCUUAAGUGCUUCAGCUUCUGUUUUCCGUGGUAGUGCUGUGUGAGACUGCAAUAUCAUUCAGAAAAUGCGACUUUGAGGCAGCAAUCUUCCGUUGUUGAGUUCUAGUGGGGGUUAAGGAUGUGUUAAAGAAAAUGUGUUUUUUGAAGCAUAAACCCCCAUACUCAACAUUUUCUUUGACGCAGGAUUAUUUUGGGAAAUCCAUACUCUCCCUGAUGAAUGGGCUCAUCAGUAUUCUGAUUCCUGCCUGUGACGAGCUUCCUCUUCUUGAUUUCAAGAAGAGUCACUCUGAUUGGCAAUGGUAGGACCUCACCAAUUUUCCUGAGACAUAUUGCCUUUCAUUCCACAUGAAUUUUGCCCAGCCUUCAAUUUCUGACAUGUUUCAAGAUAGAAACAUUGCCGACCUCACAGCAGAGGCAGCAGAAUAGAUGGAGAAGGCACUCUAGUUUCAUUGACCCACCAUGAGACAUCCACUUUUGGAUUCUAGUUCCUUGACAUCACUUAAUUCACCACACAAGGUCUGUUGCUACUUUUACUGGUCACUUAGUUUAUAGAUUUCACGAAGGUUGCCAAAUUUUAUUCAACGGUUGGAUUAUAGGCAGUUUGUAUGCUGCUGAGUGCGAAAACGCCAUCAAGUGUUAAAGAAUCUUGCCACAGGAGAUUUCACUUUGUAUUUCCAUUUGUAACACACGAUAAUAAGAAAUUUUACUUGUGAUUUUUAUCUGAUAUUGUGUAUAGGAUUUGCUUUUAUCUAUAUGGAAGAUGAGAGAGAUGCUGAGGAUGCAAUUCGAGGGCUUGAUCGAAUGGAAUUUGGUCGCAAGGGUCGUAGGCUUCGUGUUGAAUGGACAAAGCAAGAACGAGGCAUUAGAAGGCCUGGUGGUUCUAGAAGAUCGUCAGCUAAUACUAGACCAUCCAAGACCUUGUUUGUUAUCAAUUUUGAUCCACAUUAUACGAGGACAAAGGACUUGGAGAGGCACUUUGAUCCAUAUGGCAGGAUAGUUAGCGUUAGGAUUAGAAGAAAUUUUGCAUUUGUUCAGUAUGAAUCGCAGGAGGAUGCUACAAAAGCAUUGGAAGCUACGAAUAUGAGCAAGUUGAUGGAUCGAGUUAUUUCAGUUGAGUAUGCAGUUCGAGAUGAUGAUGAAAGGAGGAAUGGUUACAGCCCUGAAAGAGGUCGCGAUAGGUCACCAGACAGGCGAAGCCAUGAUAAGAGGAGGUCUCCAAGUCCUUACCAGAGGGAAAGAGGAAGCCCUGACUAUGGCCGUGGCCCUAGCCCUGUUCCUUACCGGAGAGAGAGGGCUAGCCCAGAUUAUGGCCGUCGUCGCAGCCCAAGUCCCUACAGGAGAGAGAGAGCUAGUCCUGACUAUGGCCGAGACUCAAGCCGUAGUCCUUACAGGAGAGAGAGGGCAGGCCAUGACCAUGGCCAUGGGUCCAGCCGUAGUCCUUACCGUAGAGAAAGGGUUACUCCUGAUAAUGGUCGUACCCAUAGUGGCAGUCCUUAUCAAAGGGAAAGACCCAGCCCAGAGAAUGGUCGCGACCGUAGCCGCAGUCCAUACGGCAGAGAAAGGGCUAAUGCAGACAAUGGUCGUGGUUCCAGUCAUAGUCCUUAUGAGAGGGAUGGUGUCAGCCCUGACAAUGGUCGUCGUGCCAGCCCAAUUUCCAUGCCAGAAGAGAGGGACAGUCCAAAUGAUGCUGGAGCUGAAAGUCCCGUGCGUGAGAGAUACCACAGUCGUUCACCCCCGGCAGAUGAAUGAGGCUGCAUUCCGAUGCUCUGAAAAGAACACUUGCUGGUUUAUUGGUUGUCAUGAAGAUGGAACUCAAUUGGCAGUCUUGUUUGCUCUUUCCAUGAUUGGCAGUCUUGUUUGCUCUUUCCAUGAUAAAUGCCCAAUAAAUCGUUCGCAACUUAUGCUCUUGAUUUUGUGAUUUAGGAUCUAGUCAGUGUUAGUGGGUAGUUUGUGCUUUUAUUUCUGCAUAAAAACUGUUGGGUUUUGUUUGAAACUAGAAACCAUUAAUAUAAACCAUGCUACCUAUGCUUAACUAUUGCCUUAUUUGUUAUAUGAUAGAUAUGGUUUUCUUUUUUUUUCAAACAUAUAUAUUCCCCUCUUGUAGGUUGGUUGGCUAGAUGUGUAGUUGUCCUGCCUGCUGAUCUUACAUUUUCUAGAAACAGGGAAUACUGAAAGAUGGAAAAGAUGGCGCAGAACGAGGGGCAGGGAAACGAGAUUGGAGUCUAGCGCUGAGUUAUAAAUGUGAAAAUUUGAACCGAAUUCGAUUUUUAAUUUGGGUUCAGUCUAAAAUAGUGUGGUUCUCUCUGGGUCCAAAGGUAUCAUAAAUUUUUUGGUUCGAAUUCGAAAUUUUUGGGUUCAGUCUAAUUGCUGGAGGGGUCUCGAUCAUUCCUUCGUUCGGUGAAAAAUUGAAAAGAG
rnacentral:misc_RNA from 1 species